UUCCAAACCAGAGGAGUUAGUGGGCCCAAGAGUUGGCAGAAGCACCAAGAACUGACUUAAAGCAGAGGGCAUGGCUGCAGGAUAGAGAAGAAAGCUCCAAACCUAGGAGCUCUCUGAAGGCUGGAACAUAAAGGAGGGAAGGACAGAUUCUCUCUCCCCCGAAUGUCUCUCAGCGCCUCACCGUAAGAGAGCCACACCCAUGUUCUGUAUCUACUUAAGAAAUAGCAGAUGGAGCGAGAGACUGUUGAGAAACUGAGGGUUGCUACUAAGAAGCACAUUGUAAAGUCCUCCAGACCCAGGGAUAAAACAGUACCUGGUCUGAGGUAAUCCAAAACUGGUUCCCACACCAACACGAGGUAGAUAGUUCACCACUUUCUUUACUGUGGCAGCGUCUGGGAAGUUGAACAUUACAGCAACUACAACAA